AAUAAAUUUUUUUUUAUGAAUUUAUUUUUUGAUUAAUAUAUAAAUAAAUUUUAGUAAAAAAUUAAUUUAUAAAAUUUAAAUAAUUUUAAAAAUUAUAAAUGAAAAUUAAUAUAUAAAAUAGUUAUUUUAAUGAAAAUUAUUUACAGAAAUUUAAAAUUAAUAUUAAUAAAUAAAAGUGCCAGCAAUUGCGGUUAAACUUAAAAUAUAAAUAAAUUUAAUAUAAUUAUUAAAAAAAUAUUAUUAUUAUUUAAAAUUAUUAAACUAAAAUAUUUAUUUAUGGUGAAAUAUAAUAAGAAUUGAAAAGAUUUAAUUAUUUUAAAUUAAAAUAAAUUUAAAUAAAUUUAUUAAAAAAUUAGGAUUAGAUACCCUAUUAUUUUUAUGAAAAAUUUUUAAUUAAAUAGUAAAUGUGAAUCAUUAAAAAUAAAAAAUUUGGCGGUAUUUUAUAAUAUUAGAGGAACUUGUUAAUUAAUUGAUAAUCCACGAGUAGAGUUACUUAAUUGAUAUAUUUUUAUAUAUUGUUGUUUGAAAGUUAUAUUAAGAGAUAAAAAUUGAUAAAUUUAAUAAAUAAUUAUAAUUCAAAUCAAAAUGUAGAAUAAUUAAGAUUUUAAUGAGUUACAAUUAAUUUAAUUAAUUUAAAUAAGAUUUUAAUUAGAUUUUAUAUAAAUAUUGGAUUUAAAUGUAAAUUUGUAUAAAUUUAUAGAUUGAAUAUUUUUUAAAAUAUGUACAAAUUGCCCGUCAUUUUCAUUAAAAUAAUUUGUGAGAAAAGUCGUAACAAAGUAAAUAUAUUGGAAGGUGUAUUUAGAAU
rnacentral:ncRNA from 1 species